rnacentral:rRNA from 1 species
UCCUGGCUCAGAACGAACGCUGGCGGCGUGCUUAACACAUGCAAGUCGAACGCGAAAGGGGACUUCGGUCCUGAGUAAAGUGGCGCACGGGUGAGUAACGCGUAGAUAACCUGUCUUCAUGUCUGGAAUAAUACGCCGAAAGGGGUACUAAUACCGGAUAUUCUUGCUUUUCAUAAGUUAUGCAAGCAAAGGUGGCCUCUGCAUAUGCUACUGCAUGAAGAGGGGUCUGCGUACCAUUAGCUAGUAGGUGGGGUAAUGGCCUACCUAGGCGACGAUGGUUAGCGGGUCUGAGAGGAUGAUCCGCCACACUGGCACUGGAACACGGGCCAGACUCCUACGGGAGGCAGCAGUGAGGAAUAUUGCGCAAUGGGGGAAACCCUGACGCAGCGACGCCGCGUGAAGUGAGGAAGGCCUUCGGGUCGUAAAGCUCUGUCAAGAGGAAAGAAGUGUACAAUGGCUAAUACCUGUUGUAUUUGACGGUACCUCUAAAGGAAGCACCGGCUAACUCCGUGCCAGCAGCCGC